CCUACGGGUGGCAGCAGUGGGGAAUAUUGCACAAUGGGCGCAAGCCUGAUGCAGCCAUGCCGCGUGUGUGAAGAAGGCCUUCGGGUUGUAAAGCACUUUCAGCGGGGAGGAAGGCGUUAAGGUUAAUAACCUUGUCGAUUGACGUUACCCGCAGAAGAAGCACCGGCUAACUCCGUGCCAGCAGCCGCGGUAAUACGGAGGGUGCAAGCGUUAAUCGGAAUUACUGGGCGUAAAGCGCACGCAGGCGGUCUGUCAAGUCGGAUGUGAAAUCCCCGGGCUCAACCUGGGAACUGCAUUCGAAACUGGCAGGCUAGAGUCUUGUAGAGGGGGGUAGAAUUCCAGGUGUAGCGGUGAAAUGCGUAGAGAUCUGGAGGAAUACCGGUGGCGAAGGUGGCCCCCUGGACAAAGACUGACGCUCAGGUGCGAAAGCGUGGGGAGCAAACAGGAUUAGAUACCCGAGUAGUC
rnacentral:rRNA from 1 species